UCCGAGCAACCUAGGUUGUCAAGCUGGCAAGGAAGAAGUGACAGUUGAGGGAGAGCUGCUGCGGUGGCUGGCCAGCGGCUUGGUGGAGCAGCUAGGUUCACAAAAGAACACGGCUUUUCACCUUUUAAGUAAAAGAUUUUUUUUUUUUUUAAACCGAGGACUCUACCACGGCCCCCUGUGCCCAAACGGCACCGAAGAGCCGGGCCCUUAUACCUCGGAGGAGACUAGCAUAGGACC
rnacentral:lncRNA from 1 species